rnacentral:rRNA from 1 species
GACGAACGCUGGCGGUGUGCUUAACACAUGCAAGUCGAACGGUAAGGCCCUUUCGGGGGUACACGAGUGGCGAACGGGUGAGUAACACGUGAGUAACCUGCCCUCAUCUCUGGGAUAACAGUCGGAAACGGUUGCUAAUACUGGAUAUGAGCUUGCAAGGCAUCUUGUGGGUUGGAAAGAUUUUUUUUGGUUGGGGAUGGACUCGCGGCCUAUCAGCUUGUUGGUGAGGUAGUGGCUCACCAAGGCUUCGACGGGUAGCCGGCCUGAGAGGGCGACCGGCCACAUUGGGACUGAGAUACGGCCCAAACUCCUACGGGAGGCAGCAGUGGGGAAUAUUGCACAAUGGACGGAAGUCUGAGGCAGCAACGCCGCGUGCGGGAUGACGGCCUUCGGGUUGUAAACCGCUUUCAAUUGUGACGAAGCUUUUUUGUGACGGUAGCAGUAGAAGAAGCACCGGCUAACUACGUG